AUUGAACGCUGGCGGCAGGCCUAACACAUGCAAGUCGAACGGGUGGAGGACGGGUGAGCAGGUGCGGGGCAAGUGCCUGAUGGAGGGGGAUGAGGACUGGAAACGGUGGCUAAAACCGCAUACCAUCGGAUGUGCCCAGGUGGGAGUAGCUAGUCGGUGGGGUAAAGGCUCACCUAGGCGACGAGCCCUAGCUGGGCUGAGAGGAAGACCGGCCACACUGGAACUGAGACACGGUCCAGACUCCUACGGGAGGCAGCAGUGGGGAAUAUUGGGCAAUGGGCGAAAGCCUGAUCCAGCCAUGCCGCGUGUGUGAAGAAGGUCUUCGGAUCGUAAAGUACUUUUAGUGGGGAGGCGUUACCCAACGAAAAAGCCACGGCUAACUCCGUGCCAGCAGCCGCGGUAAUAC
rnacentral:rRNA from 1 species